rnacentral:rRNA from 1 species
AUCGAACGCUGGCGGCAGGCUUAACACAUGCAAGUCGAGCGGGGUGAUGGUGCUUGCACUAUCACUUAGCGGCGGACGGGUGAGUAAUGCUUAGGAAUCUGCCUAUUAGUGGGGGACAACAUCUCGAAAGGGAUGCUAAUACCGCAUACGUCCUACGGGAGAAAGCAGGGGAUCACUUGUGACCUUGCGCUAAUGGAUGAGCCUAAGUCGGAUUAGCUAGUUGGUGGGGUAAAGGCCUACCAAGGCGACGAAUUGUAGCGGGUCUGAGAGGAGGAGCCGUCACACUGGGACGGAGAGCCGGGCCAGACUCCUACGGGAGGCAGCAGUGGGGAAUAUUGGAAAAUGGGGGGAACCCUGAUCCAGCCAUGCCGCGUGUGUGAAGAAGGCCUUAUGGUUGUAAAGCACUUUAAGCGAGGAGGAGGCUCUUUUGGUUAAUACCCAAGAUGAGUGGACGUUACUCGCAGAAUAAGCACCGGCUAACUCUGUGCCAGCCGCCGCGGUAA